AUCAACUUUCGAUGGUAGGAUAGAGGCCUACCAUGGUGGUAACGGGUAACGGGGUGUUAGGGCACGACACCGGAGAGGGAGCCUGAGAAACGGCUACCACAUCCAAGGAUGGCAGCAGGCGCGCAAAUUACCCAAUCCCGACACGGGGAGGUAGUGACAAUAAAUAACAAUACGGGGCUCUUUAGGGUCUCGUAAUUGGAAUGAGUACAAUUUAAAUCUCUUAACGAGGAACAAUUGGAGGGCAAGUCUGGUGCCAGCAGCCGCGGUAAUUCCAGCUCCAAUAGCGUAUAUUAAAGUUGUUGCAGUUAAAAAGCUCGUAGUUGAAUUUCGGGAUCAGCAGGUUGGUCGUGCCUCUGGUAUGUACUGGUUUCGCUGAUUCCUCCUUUCUGAAGAACUGUAAUGUCAUUAAUUUGGUGUUGCAGGGAAACAGGACUGUUACUUUGAAAAAAUUAGAGUGUUUAAAGCAAGCUAACGCUUGAAUACAUUAGCAUGGAAUAAUGAAAUAGGACGUUUGAUCCUAUUUUGUUGGUUUCUAGGAUUGACGUAAUGAUUAAUAGGGAUAGUUGGGGGCAUUAGUAUUCAAUUGUCAGAGGUGAAAUUCUUGGAUUUAUUGAAGACUAACUACUGCGAAAGCAUUUGCCAAGGAUGUUUUCAUUAAUCAAGAACGAAAGUUAGGGGAUCGAAGACGAUCAGAUACCGUCGUAGUCUUAACCAUAAACUAUGCCGACUAGGGAUCGGAUGAUGUUAAUUUUUUAAUGACUCAUUCGGCGCCUUACGGGAAACCAAAGUGUUUGGGUUC
rnacentral:rRNA from 1 species